rnacentral:RNase_P_RNA from 1 species
GAAGGAGAUCAGGUAAUCGCUGGUGAUCUGCAUGUGCGGUCACGAGAGGAAAGUCCGGACUCCACAGGGCACGGGUGGUCGCUAACAGCGACCGGGGGUGACCCCAGGGAAAGUGCCACAGAAAACAAACCGCUGUUCUUCACGGGCAGUAAGGGUGAAACGGUGAGGUAAGAGCUCACCAGUUCCCCGGGUGACCGGGGAAGCUUGGUAAACCCCACCCGGAGCAAGACAAAUAGAGGGGCCUAUGGGAUUGCCCGUCCUGCCCCUGGGUAGGUCGCUUGAGGGAGCAGGCAACUGCUCUCCUAGAGGAAUGAUUACCGCCUGGAGCGGGGAAACCUUCUUCAGGAGACAGAACCCGGCUUACGAUCUGCUUCAACC